GACAGAGGGUGCAAACGUUGUUCGGAAUUACUGGGCGUAAAGCGCGUGUAGGCGGCUAAGUAAGUCGGGCGUGAAAUCCCACGGCUCAACCGUGGAAGUGCACUCGAAACUGCAUAGCUAGAGUCCUGGAGAGGAAGGUGGAAUGCUUGGUGUAGAGGUGAGAUUCGUAGAUAUCAAGCGGAACACCGGUGGCGAAGGCGGCCUUCUGGACAGUGACUGACGCUGAGACGCGAAAGCGUGGGGAGCAAACAGG
rnacentral:rRNA from 1 species